CCACACAAUAUGUUAUAUGCUGAUAUGUGAUUACUUUGUUUUCUAUACAUCACUUUUGCUGGUGGAAGCUAGCAGAUUUUUGGCAUGUAUAAACUUAUUGGAAAACCCUUCUAGGUAUGCAUAGACUGAGUGUGCUUGGAUCCAGGCCACCUCUCUUGGAUUCCUAUCAAGAGCUCGGCUUACGGCACAGCUGUUGACCAAGCGAGAGUUUUUGUGAUGAGCCAGGUGCGCUCCUGGAAGAAAAAGAGGACGACACAAGGGAACCGUCGCCGCGUGGACGUCGCAGUGCCUCCCACACGGUGUUAUUGUGGUAGCAUAUCAUCGCCGCUCUAGGCGACCCCGUGGUGCUAACCACAUGCGUUGUCGGAACAUCCAUUCGAUGAUUCUGCCUAUACCCACCUGCCUGUAGCCUGGGAGUGUGUCGUCUCAACUGGAGCCUGAAGCACGCUACACGGUAGCAACCAACAUUGCUAUCCAUGUUGAAUAUUGCUGCUGCAGCAGCCAGGAAUGCUGGGGAUAGAGGUCGGUGAAGACCUUGCUUGCCUGUCGAAUGAACCAACUAAUGAGAAAAUCAAAUAAGCUGUCCAGGGACUGGUUGUGGAAUUUCUGUUGAAACUCAGCUCAAGCUUAAUAAACAUUGAGAGCAGUGAUGUUUUCUUUUAUUGUCGAGAGUGCGGAAGAAAUCUGAAUAAUCAAAUUUCAAGCUCAAAUUCCAUAUUGUUUUCAGGUUGUUCUUCACUGCUUUGUGUUCUUCAACUUUCUGUUCAGCCUGAUACAAAAAAAUGCAUUGUAUUGCUGUACGAUAUACCUCUGAACACAGUUCAGCUAAAAUGUCGCUUGGACAGAGCACUAUUGUUUCUUGUUUUUGUAGAGUUCUUAUUACGAUUCCCUUUUAGGUGUAUGAAACACUUCUUUUCAAUUUCAAAAGCAGCUGUGUUGGGUAUUUGAGAAUGGUGGCAGCACUACAUGAGGGUAUAAUGUGUGGGCAAUUUUUUCCUUGGUUCUUCAGGCUGCAUUGCAAUAGUUGGGGAGGUGUUGGAGAGGAACGGGAAUUGUAUAACUGCAGUCUCCUGCGUGCGAGAGGUGCAGUUGACCACAGCUGAGUACCUCAGUGCGCUUACUUUCGCUCAUGUCAUGAAGAGACUGGCGGCCUGCUGCCGAGGGAGGUGACACUGACUGCGCUGAGCGGAUGUCAUCUGAAGAAUCAUACGGUGGCUUGCCAUGCACAGCACCGUGCUCGGUUUACCUUGGGCUCAUCAUCAAGGACGAUGGCAACAAUCAGGCCUGAUCUGGAGGCGGUGUGGUCAGCGAGUCCUCUGUCGAAGGAGGCGAGGACCAGCAUGAGGUUUCAUAACUUAAAAUCAUUCAGUAAUUAAUCUUCAAGAAAUGUAUUAAGAGCAUCGUGUAGAAGUUCAUGAUUGUUUGACUCAGUUAUGGCAAAUGAAGCAAAUGAGUUUUUCAUGUAUUCUUGUUUGUAGCAAAGUAUAAGGGCAAUAAUUUUUUCAGAUAGCUUAUUAACAUUUGUUAAACAGUGGAGAUGUUGCUUGUUCC